GACGAACGCUGGCGGCGUGCUUAACACAUGCAAGUCGUACGGUAAGGCCCUUUCGGGGGUACACGAGUGGCGCACGGGUGCGUAACACGUGCGUAACCUGCCCACAACUUUGGGAUAACGCUAGGAAACUGGUGCUAAUACUGGAUAUGUGCUCCUGCUGCAUGGUGGGGGUUGGAAAGCUCCGGCGGUUGUGGAUGGACUCGCGGCCUAUCAGCUUGUUGGUGGGGUAGUGGCCUACCAAGGCGGCGACGGGUAGCCGGCCUGAGAGGGUGACCGGCCACAUUGGGACUGAGAGACGGCCGAGACACCGACGGGAGGGAGAAGUGGGGAAGAUUGAAGAAUGGGCGCAAGCCGGAUGCAGCAGGGCCUCGGGCGGGAUGACGGCCUUCGGGUUGAAAACCGAUUUCAGCAGGGACGAAGCUUUUUGUGACGGUACCUGAAGAAGAAGCACCGGCUAACUACGUG
rnacentral:rRNA from 1 species